rnacentral:rRNA from 1 species
UACAGAAGAGCCAAGCAUUGUCCGGAUUGACUGGGCGUAAAGCGCACGCAGGCGGUUGCGCGCGUGGGGUGUGAAAUCUGGCCGCUUAACGGCCAGGCGCCAUCCCAUACGGCGCGACUGGAGUGAUGCAGAGGUCGAUGGAAUUGCCGGUGUAGUGGUGAAAUGCGUAGAGAUCGGCAGGAACACCCAGGGGGAAACCAGUCGACUGGGCAUCUACUGACGCUGAGGUGCGAGAGCGUGGGGAGCGAACGGG